rnacentral:lncRNA from 1 species
GCAGAUUUGACAAUAUUAAGGCAAGCAACAAGAAUUUAUACUCCAGCAAUAUUUAAAGUGUUUCAGGAACAAGUGUUGCAAACAUUGAACUGUGACCUAUACUACUGUGGUGAUAUUGAUGCUGAAAUGGUGUACAAAUUAAAAGUUCACGAAUCUGAUGAAACAUACUUAAUGGCUGCCAACAAUGCACAAAAGUUAGCAGAAGAUGUGGAGAAAUACUUGAGUAUAAGGCCUGAUCCAGAUUUGGAUAAAUCUGGCACAGAGGAAAAUGUUGGCCCGAGUAAAGCAAGAGAUAUAAAGGUUAAGGAGAAAGCCAUUCGUGGGUCGAGGAGACCAAUUGGUGGUUUUGACAAGGCAACACAACGGAGUAAAAAGAAAAAGAGUGAUUCAAACACAUCAAAGUGUCCG